rnacentral:rRNA from 1 species
CCUACGGGGGGCAGCAGUAGGGAAUCUUUCACAAUGGGCGAAAGCCUGAUGGAGCAACGCCGCGUGCAGGAUGAAGGCCUUCGGGUUGUAAACUGCUUUUAUAAGCGAGAAAUAUGAUGGUAACUUAUGAAUAAGGAUCGGCUAACUACGGGCCAGCAGCCGCGGUCAUACGUAGGAUCCGAGCAUUAUCCGGAGUGACUGGGUGUAAAGAGUUGCGUAGGUGGCAUAAUAAGUAGCUAGUGAAAUCUGGUGGCUCAACCAUUCAGACUAUUAGCUAAACUGUUAAGCUCGAGACCGUUAGGGGUAACUGGAAUUUCUAGUGUAGGAGUGAAAUCCGUAGAUAUUAGAAGGAACACCAAUAGCGUAGGCAGGUUGCUGGGACGGUUCUGACACUAAGGCACGAAAGCGUAGGGAGCAAACGGGAUUAGAUACCCCUGUAGUC